CUAAUUAACCCUUGAUUAGGUCUAAAAUAACAAAUAAUCAUCAAAAGCUAAAAAAAUUAUUAUCUCGUAGUAAGAUUGCAACGACCUACACCGAUUAGAACUGUUUAAAAAAUAUCUUUAACAAGAAUAUUGUUUGUUAUAAUUGUAUUUCAAAUAUCAUUGAUUAGGUUUAAUAUACUUACUAAUUAUAAAAGAAUACCAAAGUACAUAAAAAAUUCAAUUCAAAAACUUAAUAAAAAUUCAAUUUUUCAGAAUAUGAAAUAUUUUCGGACACUUUAUGUAUAUAUCCAAACGCAUAAUUGAUGUGUUGGGUAUUGUUACUAUACUCCUUUAACUGACGAGAGGCAUAAGCAAUAGUCCUAUCAGCUUACAUUAGAACACACCACAGACCCUGUCCAGACGCAUCACAGUAAACGACAAAUUUUUUCCAAUCUGAUGGUAAUGCUAAUACCAAAACUAUGAUCAAUCGUUGCUUCAACUCAUGGAAACUGGUUUCACAUCUAUUUGUAAAAAACGUUGAUUUUUCUUAGUUAAUUUUGUUAAAGGCAUUGAGAUCUUGGAAAACCCCUCAACAAAACAUUGAUAGUAUCCAACUAAAAUAAAAAAAACUUCUGACUUCAGUGACUGUCUUUGAUCUUGGCCAAUCGAAGCUCUCUUAAUGGUUCAAUCCAUGAGAAUCGAUAAUAAUGCCAAGAAUCUUGAUGUCAGCAAAGGUGAGAUAAAUCUUUCUCAUACGAAGCCAAUUGGGUAUAACAAUUUUUCCAAACCUAUUUUUAAUGGAUCUCAGAAUCCUUUUACCAGUCACAGAGGUGGCCCCUCUCAUUUUGAUGGAUCUGGUAACAUGUAUGGUGGUCCCUCAUCUCAAACCAUGUCACGAGGUGGUCCCCCUUAUGUUAGAGGUGGUUCUACUGGCCUUGGUGGUCCCCCUGGAAAUAGCUGUGGCACCAACAACUCUUCUGGCCAGAGAAUUCAAUGCCAAUUAUGCCACAUGGUUGGCCAUACUGUUAAAUAAUAUUUUUAUUGUUUGGACAAGUCUUUUACAGGUCUUGAAUCUUUCACAAACUUUCCUGCUAAUGCCAACAUUGCUGAGAUGCAAGUCAUGUAUGCCACCUCUGAAUCUGUAUGUGGUGAUAGCUGGUAUCUAGAGAUCUGGUGAAACUCAUCACCUCACACCAGACAACUCCAAUCUUGGCACAAGCACACCCUAUACAGAUAAUGAACAGAUCUAUGUUGGUAAUGGCACUGGUCUAAGCAUCGAGCAUAUUGGAUUUAGUCACUCAGAAGAUAUUAUUAGUUGGGAAGCUUGAGAAAGGGCUAUACAAAUUUGACUCUCCUCAACUCAAUCAUGCUACACCUCUGUCUUCUAUUUAUUUUUUCAAUUCCUCAAUGUAAUACUCAGUAAUACUCAUCAAAUGGCUAUUCAAAAUCCUUUUUUUUUCCUUUAUGGCACA